rnacentral:misc_RNA from 1 species
AAAAAUAAUAUUAAAAAAUAAUUUAUCACAUACCAUAUUAAAUUUCUCUCUUUUAUCAUAAAUUAAAAAAAAAUUCUUACAUAAGCCUGAUUUAUCAUUAAUUCAAGAUAUAGAAUAUACAGUGGGACUCGCCUAUUAAAUACAAAGAUCUCACCUAUAUGUUUGUAUUUUGAGUAUACGAAUAACUGAAUUUAGGCAAAAAUUUCCCUUCAAAUAAUAACCAAAAAUUAAAAUUCUUAAUUUACUAUAGAUAGAUCUCUCAAGCUAGGUUGUGCUAUAUUAAACUAUAAUUUUCUAGUGUAUUUUUUUUUUCUUAAUAAAAAAUCUAUGCAUUGAUCCCACCAUGCACCCUUUCGCAUAUCCCAUUAAUUUGUUAGUGUCAAAGUUUAUGUCAUUAUACCUAAUGAAGAUUAUCCUCCAUGAUCAUGAAGAAAUGGGAACAAAACCAUUUUUUACUCAAUUAAAAUCAGAUUAUUCACACCAAAAUUAAGAUAUUUACGGACUUGUGAACCAGGGUAAUCCUUGAAGUUUAACAAUGAACAGUGAAAAUAUAUAUUGGUUUGAAAAGAAAAGAAGGUGAGUAAAUUAAGCAUCAAACCUGGAAAACUUGGUCAGAUGAAGCCAUUGAAGUUGGAUUCUGCAGCAUAGGUUUUGGUCUGUUUUCUUGGCUGUUAUUAUGAUUAUUGAUCUCUUUUUUCUUGAUGGAAGAAACAAGAAGUGAUGAUGAUCUGUUAGCAGCUGCAGGUGGAAGAAAACUCAUUGGAGACUCUACAAGUCUAGAGUACUCAACACCAUUAUUAGUACUUUUCUUCAAUAAUAAUCUUGAUGAUGAUGAGGAUGAUGAUGAUGGAUUAUCAAGAAGCUGCUGGAGGGUUCUCUCAGGCCUUCUUGGCACGAUCACCGAGCGAGGAUCAUUCAAUGUGCAUACUGCAGUUGCUGCCGUAGAUUGGCACAUGAAGCCCCUCAUCUUCCUGCCUGAUUUCUUGGUGGUCAUGGCGAAAAACACAAGGUGUUUGAUAGUUGCCUAAGAGAGAAGGUAAGGGUAGAAGUGAUGAUUAAAAAUGGGAGGGGGAGGAUGGAGAUCUCUGUAGGUAGGAGCGUAAAUAAAGGGGUAGCAUUUGCAUGCUAUAUUUAUGACUGAGCUAACCCUUUGCUUCUGUACUCCCUCUUUCUCUCUCUCCCUGUGUGCCUAUGUUUUGAAUGCUUUCAACUUCCUGUCUUUUUCUUUGCUUAAUGUUGAGAAACUGACUGCUUUGUCCUACAGUGCCCUUUUGAUAUUUUCGACUAAUAAAAUAUUUGAUUUUGGC